rnacentral:rRNA from 1 species
UACAGAGGUGGCAAGCGUUGUUCGGAAUUACUGGGCGUAAAGGGCGCGUAGGCGGUUCGUUAAGUCCUGUGUGAAAUCCCCCGGCUCAACUGGGGAACUGCACAGGAAACUAGCGGGCUUGAGUUUGGGAGAGGGAUGCGGAAUUCCAGGUGUAGCGGUGAAAUGCGUAGAUAUCUGGAGGAACACCGGUGGCGAAGGCGGCAUCCUGGACCAACACUGACGCUGAGUGAGCGAAAGCCAGGGGAGCAAACGGG